rnacentral:lncRNA from 1 species
UUUAUCGUUGGAAACGAGCUCGAGACUUUAUUUCGUAUUCUUUACUAUACUAACAACUUAUUUUAUUUAAUACGUUAUUCGCUCGCGUCGCGCCGUCUUGCGAGAGGAUGGUGACAACAUAGAAAUUCCCCGCGGACUGCGAAUCUGUCAGAGUACAAUUCUUCAUUUUUUUCGUGGAAAUAAAUCUAUGACGAAAGGUUAAUAUGAGAAACUGGGGAAAAACGGGGUUUUCCUUACUCUCUCGAACACCAACGAAUGUAUUGUUGAGGCAUGGAGGAGCUCUCCUCAAAAACUGGUGGGGGUUCUCUUUUACUACGCUUCAAUCCAACGCACCUCGGUUGCCUCGAGUUCUGUCAAAAAGCAGUCCAAAAAUAUGGAAUUUCCUGGAAGAAUAUAAUAAAACGCAGGAAGAAUGGAAAAACAGACAAUUUCCGCAAAUUUUGAAGCCCCCGUUUCGCUCGGAUCUCCUCUAUAUAUCGACAAAAUAGUGAAACUGAAGUUGCUAUAUCGUUACGAGUUUGUAUAAUUUUUGCUUCUUGCCUAACGUCAUUAAGAAAAUUUCAAGUCAAAUCUAGACAAAAACUAUUUGAGGGUCACCGCUUAAAAAAUGUACACGAAAUCAUAAACUCGGAAAGUCAACGGAUCAUUCGUGGAAAAAUGCUAACGCGGAGGAAGUGUAACUGGCAAGUAGAACGGUGGUGAUGGAGACUCGGUAGAGUCUCGGGACAGUUACAUCGACAGCCCUGUCGUUUGCCGGCCCAAACUAUACUUAUAUUUACCACUCGGGAUUCACGAGUUAACGAUAUAAACAACUGACAGGGCUCGAGAAUAUAUACCGAGUUCCGAAGUUUCUCGCGAGGGCUGCGCCACAUGAGUUGUACAGUGAACGUAUAUAAAAAAACCUUGUAUUUAUCAUCAUUUUUUUCCGUUGCCCAUAAAAUUGUUUUUACAGAGAUAAAGAGGCUCGAUAUCGCAUGAAUCCCUUAGUUUUUUCGUAGUGAUUAGAGUAACAUGCAGUGCAUUUAGUUUCAUGGAAAUCGAACUGAUGUAUUAGACAUCGGGAAUAACGUUUCAUUGAAAAUUUCAUUCGAUUCGAAAUUCGAUGAACAAUAACCUCAAAAAUGCUCCUCGUUAUGCUGAUUGCAUUAUUCAUUCAAAUAAAAUCCAAUCGAGAUGCCGUCGAAAUUCUAAUAAGUAAUAAAAUUGAAAAGUAAUGAUAGUGUGCAGUGAAUUAUGUUAUCCAAUAUGUUUAUAAUGGUGCGAAUAAAUUUUGUGCAUGACAAAAUGA